rnacentral:rRNA from 1 species
AAACCAACAGGGAUUGCCUUAGUAACGGCGAGUGAAGCGGCAAAAGCUCAAAUUUGAAAUCUGGCACCUUCGGUGUCCGAGUUGUAAUUUGAAGAAGGUAACUUUGGAGUUGGCUCUUGUCUAUGUUCCUUGGAACAGGACGUCACAGAGGGUGAGAAUCCCGUGCGAUGAGAUGCCCAAUUCUAUGUAAAGUGCUUUCGAAGAGUCGAGUUGUUUGGGAAUGCAGCUCUAAGUGGGUGGUAAAUUCCAUCUAAAGCUAAAUAUUGGCGAGAGACCGAUAGCGAACAAGUACAGUGAUGGAAAGAUGAAAAGAACUUUGAAAAGAGAGUGAAAAAGUACGUGAAAUUGUUGAAAGGGAAGGGCUUGAGAUCAGACUUGGUAUUUUGCGAUCCUUUCCUUCUUGGUUGGGUUCUCCGCAGCUUACUGGGCCAGCAUCGGUUUGGAUGGUAGGAUAAUGAUUAAGGAAUGUAUCUCUACUUCGGUGGAGUGUUAUAGCCUUGGUUGAUACUGCCUGUCUAGACCGAGGACUGCGUCUUUGACUAGGAUGCUGGCAUAAUGAUCUUAAGCCAC